UACGGAGGAUGCAAGCGUUAUCCGGAUUUAUUGGGUUUGAAGGGUGCGUAGGCGGAAUAAUAAGUCAGUGGUGAAAUCUUGAGGCUUAACCGUAAAAUUGCCGUUGAUACUGUUAUUCUUGAGUGCAGUUGAGGUAGGCGGAAUGUGUAAUGUAGCGGUGAAAUGCUUAGAUUUUACACAGAACACCGAUUGCGUAGGCAGCUUACUAAACUGUAACUGACGCUGAGGCACGAAAGCGUGGGGAGCAAACAGG
rnacentral:rRNA from 1 species